rnacentral:rRNA from 1 species
CAUGUCUUUUUGAUUAUAAUAUAAAGUCUGACCUGCCCUAUGAUAAGGUUUUAUUAAAUGGCCGCGAUAAUUUGAUCGUGCAAAGGUAGCAUAAUAAUUAGUUUUUUAAUUGGGAACUGGUAUGAAAGGUCGAACGAGAAAAAGACUGUCUCAAUUUAAUUUUAAUUAGAAUUUUAUUUUUAAGUAAAAAAGCUUAAAUAAAUUUAAAAGACGAGAAGACCCUAUAGAGUUUUAUAUUUAAUUAUUUAUUUUUUAGUUUAAGAAUUUAAUUUUAAGAUUGGUAAUUAAAUAUUUGGUUGGGGUGAUUGAAAAAUUAAAUGAACUUUUUUUUAUUUAUUUUACAUUGAUAAAUGAUUAAUUGAUCCAUAAUUAUAUGAUUAAAAGAUUAAAUUACCUUAGGGAUAACAGCGUAAUUUUUUUUGAGAGUUCUUAUCGAAAAAAAAGUUUGCGACC